UGCGUAGGUGGUUCGUUAAGUCAGAUGUGAAAGCCCCGGGCUCAACCUGGGAAUUGCAUUUGAUACUGGCAGACUAGAGUGCGGUAGAGGAGAGUGGAAUUCCCGGUGUAGCAGUGAAAUGCGUAGAGAUCGGGAGGAACAUCAGUUGCGAAGGCGGCUCUCUGGACCAGCACUGACACUGAGGCACGAAAGCGUGGGGAGCAAACAGGAUUAGAUACCCUGGUAGUCC
rnacentral:rRNA from 1 species